GAUGAAGAACGCAGCGAAAUGCGAUACUUGGUGUGAAUUGCAGAAUCCCGUGUACCAUCGAGUCUUUGAACGCAAGUUGCGCCCGAAGCCAUUAGGCCGAGGGCACGCCUGCCUGGGCGUCACACGUCGUUGCCCCCCCAUCUACUCCUUCGGGAUUGCGGGGGGCGGAUGAUGGCCUCCCGUGCGCCUCGUCGCGCGGUUGGCAUAAAUGCCAAGUCCUCGGCGACGCACGCCACGACAAUCGGUGGUUGCGAAACCUCGGUUGCCCGUCGUGUGCGGUCGUCGCGCAUCGAGGGCUCGAAAAAAUUGCCGGGCUCCGGCUCGGCUUUCAACGCGACCCCAGGUCAGGCGGGGUUACCCGCUGAAUUUAAGCAUAUCAAUAAGGGGAGGA
rnacentral:misc_RNA from 1 species